GGGAGAGUUCCCGAGCGGCCAAAGGGGGCAGACUGUAAAUCUGUUGCUAUAGAGCUUCGGUGGUUCGAAUCCACCCUCUCCCACCA
rnacentral:tRNA from 1 species